rnacentral:rRNA from 1 species
AGAACGAACGCUGGCGGCAUGCUUAACACAUGCAAGUUGAACGCAGAAUAGGGCUUCGGCUCUAUUGCUGAGUAGCAAACGGGUGAGUAACGCGUGGGAAUCUGCCUUCUUGUGGGGGAUAACUAAGGGAAACUUUAGCUAAUACCGCAUACGCUCUACGGAGGAAAGGCUUCGGCCGCAAGAAGAGGAGCCCGCGUCAGAUUAGGUAGUUGGUAGGGUAAAAGCCUACCAAGCCAAUGAUCUGUAGCUGGUCUGAGAGGAUGAUCAGCCACACUGGGACUGAGACACGGCCCAGACUCCUACGGGAGGCAGCAGUGGGGAAUAUUGGACAAUGGGGGAAACCCUGAUCCAGCAAUGCCGCGUGAAUGAAGAAGGCCUUAGGGUUGUAAAGUUCUUUCACCUGUGACGAUAAUGACGGUAGCAGGAGAAGAAGCCCCGGCUAACUCCGUGCCAGCAGCCGC